rnacentral:rRNA from 1 species
CCUACGGGAGGGCAGCAGUGAGGGAAUAUUGGACAAUGGGCGCAAGCCUGAUCCAGCCAUGCCGCGUGCAGGAAGAAGCAUCUAUGGUGUGUAAACUGCUUUUGUACAGGAAGAAACACUCCCUCGUGAGGGAGCUUGACGGUACUGUAAGAAUAAGGACCGGCUAACUCCGUGCCAGCAGCCGCGGUAAUACGGAGGGUCCGAGCGUUAUCCGGAAUCAUUGGGUUUAAAGGGUCCGUAGGCGGUUUAAUAAGUCAGUGGUGAAAUCUGGUCGCUCAACGAUCAAACGGCCAUUGAUACUGUUAGACUUGAAUUAUAAGGAAGUAACUAGAAUAUGUAGUGUAGCGGUGAAAUGCUUAGAUAUUACAUGGAAUACCAAUUGCGAAGGCAGGUUACUACUUAUGGAUUGACGCUGAUGGACGAAAGCGUGGGGAGCGAACAGGAUUAGAUACCCUGGUAGUCCACGCCGUAAACGAUGGAUACUAGCUGUUCGGAGCAAUCUGAGUGGCUAAGCGAAAGUGAUAAGUAUCCCACCUGGGGAGUACGUUCGCAAGAAUGAAACUCAAAGANAAUUGACGNGNGAGAGAGACGACGACGACGAGGAGGAGGNGG